AACGAACGUUAGCGGCGCGCUUAACACAUGCAAGUCGAACGAGAAAGGGUGCCUUCGGGUACCCCGGUAAAGUGGCGCACGGGUGAGUAACACGUGGGUAACCUACCCCCGGGCGGGGGA
rnacentral:rRNA from 1 species